rnacentral:rRNA from 1 species
AUUGAACGCUGGCGGCAGGCCUAACACAUGCAAGUCGAACGGUAACAGGAAGAAGCUUGCUUCUUUGCUGACGAGUGGCGGACGGGUGAGUAAUGUCUGGGAAACUGCCUGAUGGAGGGGGAUAACUACUGGAAACGGUAGCUAAUACCGCAUAACGUCGCAAGACCAAAGAGGGGGACCUUCGGGCCUCUUGCCAUCGGAUGUGCCCAGAUGGGAUUAGCUAGUAGGUGGGGUAACGGCUCACCUAGGCGACGAUCCCUAGCUGGUCUGAGAGGAUGACCAGCCACACUGGAACUGAGACACGGUCCAGACUCCUACGGGAGGCAGCAGUGGGGAAUAUUGCACAAUGGGCGCAAGCCUGAUGCUGCCAUGCCGCGUGUAUGAAGAAGGCCUUCGGGUUGUAAAGUACUUUCAGCGGGGAGGAAGGGAGUAAAGUUAAUACCUUUGCCCAUUGACGUUACCCGCAGAAGAAGCACCGGCUAACUCCGUG